GCUGGAAUAAAUUCAAAACAAGAAUUGUUUUUUUUUUUUUUAGGGAAUAAAUCAACUUUAGCAUAAGGAAUAAAAUUCAAACACUUAUCCUAACUAACACUCCGCCAAAGAGAUGAGCCAAGAGCCAGUUCUUGUAUCUAAGCAGGAUCAGGAGAUGGUGAGGAUGCUGCACUGACAAAAGGUUAAAAUAUACACGAUGUCUGAGUUUCAAGAAUCUUUCUCUGCAAUUCAUCGUAU